rnacentral:rRNA from 1 species
UACAGAGGUCUCAAGCGUUGUUCGGAUUCAUUGGGCGUAAAGGGUGCGUAGGCGGCGCGGUAAGUCGGGUGUGAAAUCUUGGAGCUUAACUCCGAAACUGCAUUCGAUACUGCCGUGCUUGAGGACUGGAGAGGAGACUGGAAUUUACGGUGUAGCGGCGAAAUGCGUAGAUAUCGUAAGGAAGACCCAGUGGCGAAGGCGGGGUCUCUGGACAGUUCCUGACGC